ensembl:snoRNA LOC120094464 small nucleolar RNA SNORA1
AGCCUCAUUGUACAUAAAAAUGGGCAUUGUUGUUGGCCAGUGUCCAGUGUCAAUGUGGCUACAUUAAGAUACAGGUCAUGCUUCCAUCACAGCAGAUUAAAUGACAGUGGUGACAAUGAGACCUGCAACAUUU